rnacentral:lncRNA from 1 species
AGCAGGAAAAAAAGAGUACUACUCCCUUACAUGGACGAAUAUAAAUGGAAUUGUCUAGCGACACCAAAGAUCGAAUAUAAUUCAGCAAUUGAGACAAAGAGCCAAAAAGACAUUGAUUAGCACCCACAUUGGCUUCCCUUUAAAUAUGUGAUAAUUACUCCCUAAGUAACUCCGAACUUAAUUCUUUGAAUGACAUUGCAAAGUGGCCAAGUUGAAGAGCAGUUUGACAUCACCAAAAGGCAAAGAGCAUUUGAAUCCACUGCCACCUCAAUCUGCAAACACAUCUCCAAGCCAUGAAGUAAAGCCCACGACUCAGGCUCCAGCACUUGUAUCUCCCCAAAUUCUUUAUAAAAAAAAAAGCCACAAUAAGCUUCCCAUGAUGAUCCCGUACAACUCCUCCACCUACAGCCUUCCCAUUAACAACACUGGCAUCAGUGUUAAGUUUCAAGAAACCCAACUUUAGUGGCUUCUAUUUCAUAGCGAUGCACAAUUUCUUUUUUCGGUGCUGAAAUUUGAAAAAAGGAGCAACAACCGAAUCUAAAUCACCCACCAAUUGCACCUUUUGAAUCCUAGUAGCAUCCCCCAAUAUCUUUGAAAAAUUAAUAAUCGCCCUAAUAACCAUCCCGGAUUUCAUUCUAUGACCAUCAAUCUUGCUGAGUUCCUUCUAUGCCAAAUAAACCAAACAACC